rnacentral:rRNA from 1 species
UUACCGAAGCUUGGUCGCAUCCCAAGGUUAUAAAGUGAAUGCGUUAGGAAAASCGAACUGCCAGCUGCGUUUGUCCGCUAUUCCCCCUUUUCCCCUCUGGAGCUUUUUUCUGGCGAAGGUAGUAACGUCUUACAGCAUUGCSCGCUGUGCGAUCACCGUCGGGAUCGCGACCUGACUGUGUUCUCUUCGACGAGAAACCAACGCUAGCCGUGUCAUGUUCAACGGGCCCUAGUGGCUCGGCUGGCCGCGCUCGGAAAGAAGAAGGCAGAAGAGCGAAGAGAGAAGGCGGAGUACCGAGGACGAACCCGGAAUGGCUAUUCGUAAUAUGGAAAGAAACCCCGNGAAAGAAUUGCAUUAUGCGAUGUCGGCGAGAGCGUCUYGCCGAGCUUUGCUAAGCUCGAAUCAAAGAGUACCCACCUUUCAACCCCAACAAACUCUGAAUCUGAACUAAAAAGGAGGGGCGGGUCCUCUGCGACCUGGCGCCUUCUCAACCUUUAACGUUGUAA